rnacentral:rRNA from 1 species
AUUGAACGCUAGCGGGAUGCCUUACACAUGCAAGUCGAACGAGCGGCGGACGGGUGAGUAAUGUCUGGGAAACUGCCUGAUGGAGGGGGAUAACUACUGGAAACGGUAGCUAAUACCGCAUACCAUCAGAUGUGCCCAGAUGGGAUUAGCUCGUAGGUGGGGUAAUGGCUCACCUGGGCGACGAUCCCUAGCUGGUCUGAGAUGAUGACCAUCCACGCUGGAACUGAGACACGGUCCAGGCGCCUACGUGAGGCAGCAGUGGGGAUGAUUGCACAAUGGGCUCAAGCCUGAUGCAGCCAUGCCGCGUGUGUGAAGAAGGCCUUCGGGUUGUAAAGCACUUUCAGCGAGGAGGCGUUACUCGCAGAAGAAGCACCGGCUAACGCCGUGCCAGCAGCCGCGGUAAUAC